rnacentral:snoRNA from 1 species
AGGUUAUCACAAAAGGGCUUGUGGGUUCAUGAACCUAGGAGCUCUUAAUCCUAUGACUAAUGACUGAAGUUCUCCACUGGAUGCCAAGGUCACUAGGGGAUAUAAGA